rnacentral:rRNA from 1 species
UGCAGAGGGUGCGAGCGUUGUCCGGAAUUACUGGGCGUAAAGAGCUCGUAGGUGGUUUGUCGCGUUGUUCGUGAAAACUCACAGCUCAACUGUGGGCGUGCGGGCGAUACGGGCAGACUGGAGUACUGCAGGGGAGACUGGAAUUCCUGGUGUAGCGGUGGAAUGCGCAGAUAUCAGGAGGAACACCGGUGGCGAAGGCGGGUCUCUGGGCAGUAACUGACGCUGAGGAGCGAAAGCGUGGGGAGCGAACAGG